rnacentral:rRNA from 1 species
GACGAACGCUGGCGGCGCGCCUAACACAUGCAAGUCGAGCGGAGAUAUUUAAAGGAAGUUUUCGGAUGGAAUUUGAGUAUUUUAGCGGCGGACGGGUGAGUAACGCGUGAGUGACCUGCCUUCCACAGGGGGAUAACGUACCGAAAGGUACACUAAUACCGCAUGAGACCACAGCACUGCCUGGUGCAGGGGUCAAAGGAGCAAUCCGGUGGAAGAUGGACUCGCGUCCGAUUAGAUAGUUGGUGGGGUAACGGCCUACCAAGUCAGCGAUCGGGAGGCGACCUGAGAGGGUGAUCGGCCACAUUGGAACUGAGAGGCGGUCCAAACUCCGACGGGAGGCAGCAGUGGGGAAUAUUGGGCAAUGGGGGAAACCCUGACCCAGCGACGCCGCGUGAGGGAAGAAGGUUUUCGGAUUGUAAACCUCUGUUCUUGGUGAAGAGGGAAAGACGGUAGCCAAGGAGGAAGCCCCGGCUAACUACGUGCCAGCAGCCGCCGUAA